UGUGUGAAGAAGGCCUUCGGGUUGUAAGGCACUUUUGUCCGGAAAGAAAUCGCGCUGGUUAAUACCUGGCGUGGAUGACGGUACCGGAAGAAUAAGCACCGGCUAACUACGUGCCAGCAGCCGCGGUAAUAACGUAGGGUGCGAGCGUUAAUCGGAAUUACUGGGCGUAAAGCGUGCGCAGGCGGUUUUGUAAGACAGGCGUGAAAUCCCCGGGCUUAACCUGGGAAUUGCGCUUGUGACUGCAAGGCUAGAGUGCGUCAGAGGGGGG
rnacentral:rRNA from 1 species